rnacentral:lncRNA from 10 species
AAGAAAACAGGUGAAGGGGUGCUGUGUGUACCCAAGGACUACAACUUCUCUGUGGACAGUACAAGGGUGACCCAAAUACAAGAUGGGCAAUAUCAUCCCUGGAAAGCUGGCAGAUGAUAUUUUGUAGUAUACAUAGUAGUCGGUGCUCAUGAAACAUGAUGAGAACCCUGACCCUGACCAUGGCAGAUGUUGCCUCCUCCACUGCUACUUCCCUGGCAGCCCAGAAGACAUCACUCAACUCUCUCAGGAAGGUUGCUUCAGACAACAGAACUGCUCUAGACUUUCUUUCAGCCUAACUCGGAGGAGCGUGUGAUUGACAACACCUUCCGCUCUACCUGGAUAAAUACCUCAGGGUACAAGCAACAUAAAAGGAACAUCCUCUUACCAACUACCACCACUAUUCACUCAGCCACAAUUUGUGGAGGUCCAUGAUGCAGACAGCGAACUCUCAACCAACCAUCACAUCCUACUCUCCUACUCCCCUAGAAAUAUCCUAAAUGGUUUAUACCCCAGAGACUCUUCCUUCUGGGUUACUUUGAUUUAGCAGGCUUCCCAUUGGGGCAGGGGUUUUCCUAAAUGGUGUCAGCCUGGUUACAUUCUGGGAUGCUCAUGUGGCCCAAAGGAAAGUCACACGGCCUGAUCAGGCAGAAUGGUGGGAAUGAAUCUGCUCCCGUGGAGUGCAUCUUGCUUCUGCUUGGCCAUCACAGAGAGGUACAGACAGACUUCUGCUUAGCGACAUUUUCAAGUGUGAGUCACUUGCUGGUCUAGACUCUGGUAAAUAUCGAGCUCUCAAGUGGUCUUGUUGAAGAAGAUGGGAGGGAGAAGAGUAGAGCCUUCCCAUGAGAGAUGGUGGUGGGAUUCACAGAAUACAGAUGACUAUCUUUAAAUCAAUUCUAGCAUUCCUUCUGCUGUAGAUUGAAUGUUGGUAUUCCCCCUCCCCCAAAUUCAUGUGUUGAAACCUGAUACCCAAAGUGAUGAUAUUUGGAUGUGGGGCCUUUGGGAAGUAAUUAAGUCAUGAGGGUAGAACCCCCAUGAAUGGGAUUAGUGUCCUUGUGAAAGAGACCCCAGAGAGCUCCCUUCCCCUUUCUGCCAUGUGAAGACACAGUGAGAAGAUGCUCAUCAUCUUAAAGACAGAGAUUAUGUUAUUUUUAAAAGUAGGCACUGUUCAUUAAUCAUCUUCCAUGUGUCAGGCACUAUGUAGAGAUAGAAUCUUUCUACCAGUACUGUGCAGUAGAUAUCAUUAUUCCUAUUCAAAAGAUAAUAAAAACUGGAACAUCAAAGUUAAGUAAAUGCAGAAGACCACACAUAUUUUAAAAUAUUAUAGCAUUAUAGCAUCUGAAUUCAGAUUUAUAUCUGUCUUAACACUACAACCUAUUUACUUUCUGUUAGGAUAAUUGCCUUAUAAAAAGACAUAAUUAAUGGAUCCACCUUAUAAAUGUUUCAAAUAUUUUAAUUGCAGCAUUCUGUACUUUUGUAGUGUUCAGUUUUAUUCCUAUGAUACUUUCACAUUCAUUACAGACAACUUCACCAUAAACAUGCAGAGUGUGAAUUCUCCAGUACCUGCAAUAUUAUAUUUGCACUUUCUUCAACUGAAACAUAGCAGCAGGACCACAAUUUGUAUUACCCUAAAGCUGCUGCUUCUACUUUAUUGUCCCUCUCUAGUUGUCAAAUAUUAAAGACACGUAUAAAAUGUAUGGUUGAAAUUGCUCUGAUAGUUUGUACACUGAAGACAAUGACUACCUCUAGAACUAUCUCUUAAGCCGCAAACACUACUCUCUCUCUCUGUCUCUCUGUCACACACACACACACACACACACACACACACUCCUUUUUUGUCACUUUCUUCUUAGAAAACUAAAGAGAACCCUUGAAUGUUUUACUUCAAAAUGAGAUCAAAUUAUCUUAAUAGACAAAUAAAUGAAAGAGAGAAAAAUAUUGAUGUUCCUACUUUGACUGUAGCCACCACAUAAUUUUGUCAGUGACUAGUGAAUCUUUUUGAAGUAGUGAGAGCUAUUUGGAAGGAUGAUCCUAUCUUAUAUAAAUGCAUUCAGCUUUCUUUUUAUUCUUUUCAAAGCCUCAGAUUGAAAUCAACUCUGAAUGAAGGUUAAAGGCCUUAGCUGUGAUUUCAGACAGUCAUAGUUGUUUACCUCCUAGCAGGUCCACUUAUGAGCUACAUAAUUUGGUACAAAUUACUUAGCUCUUCUUACUGAAAGUUAGAACAGUUAAGUAAUUUGUAAUAAUUUCCUCUGUAAUAAAGGAGGAUUUAAAUAAAAAAAUCUCUUAAAUCUUUCAUUAUCACAAAGAGAUGUAAAGAGAUAAUGUAAGAAAAUAAGAAAAAGUACACUAAACACUCAGCAUGGUAGUUAAUGCUAAGCACUUAAAAAAUUGUAACUGUUAUCAUCAUCAUCAUUAUCAUUAUCAUCAUUGUAUUAAAGAAAGAGGAUGUCAAAGAAGGGGCAUAGACUUUGGAAUCAGAGUUGAAAUGAGUUGGAAUCCUGGCUGUGACAAAGUCUGACUUUGAACAUGUUCUAACAUUUACAAUCUUUAGUUUCUGCCUUGUUAAAUGAUUUUGAUGGUAGUAUUUACUUUACCAGAUUGUUGUGAGGAUUAAAGAUAAUCUGUUUUAAGUGCCCAGCAUGGCAACUUUGUAAAGUCUAACAUAUUACUCUCUUCAGUUCUGUAAGAAAAAAUCCUGUUCAAUACUUGGGCAUACAAAUGCAUGAACAUGCCUCUUAGAAGUUCAAUAAAAGAUUUUUUAUUGAAAGGUUUCUUCAAGCAACUCAUGGAUAAUUUGAAUACCGAUAAAAUUAUAGUAUUGAUUGUCAUCAGGAGAUUUUAGGUAUGUGGCUUCAACACUACCUGUAAGAAAAUGGCCAAACAAAAUUUUACAGUAUAUUUUGUCUUUGACAUUGCUGUGCUAUAUGACCAAAUUGUUGUUAUAUGCAAAACUAACUAGAGGGUUACUCAAUAAUUCUCAAUAGUUUUUCUUUUGUAUUAGAAAUAUCUACUAACCAUCACAAUUGUUUAAAGAAUCCAAAACAACCCCAAAAACUUAAAUUUUAAAGUAUUUAUUAUACAAAUUAAACCUAGUAAUUCACCGUUUUUUUUAAAAACCUUUAAACAUGCUUAAUUCACUCUUUUUGUUUUUAAUUUUAAAACAAAAUCACAAAAUGUCCUACAGAAAGUCUGUGGUCCAGAUCCAUACAGAACAAAGCUAUGUUUUGGGGUUAGUCUUAAAUUUGCAAUCUCUAUGGUCCUAUUAAAAUAUGAAAGAUUGUAUCAUGAUUCAUAUAGAGAGAAUCAAUUAUAAUUCUCAUAUACUCCUUCUUCCCACCUUUACCUUUAUAUCCAUUUUUAAUGUUCUAUAUAUCUAGCUAUUAUAUUAAUAUCUUAGCCAAGAGGUCAGAUGUAGUUGAAAGAUGUCAAUAUGAAAAAUAAAAUGAAAAUCAGAAACAUUUAUCUUUUUACCAUGUUAAUCUAAAUGUGAUGUUUUACAGUUGUAUAAUGAGUUUAUAGAAAAAUUUUUAAAAACUAGCAACA